rnacentral:lncRNA from 1 species
UCUUCGCUGGAUUUUGGCAUAAGAAUUUUUCCAUUGUACCCUCUUAUAAUAGGACCCAUCAAUACAAAAUUGAGAUGGUCUACAGUCGCCGAAGAAAAAGUGGAUUCGACAUUCAAAUUUUGUCCAUGCAAUACCAACAAAUUGGAGCAGCAAAAAUUGAAAGCAAUAUCAAACAAUCAACAAAACAGGACAAAGUUUAAUUAACACUCCUGGAAGAAGAUGAUGAGAAAGCAAUGAGAGCAAAAAAGUAAAGUGAAAGAGAAAAUAGGAUAGAAAGUUGGAGAAGAUAAAAAUGGAAGAAGAGAGAUUGCAGGGGGAGAAAGAACUUUG